GAAUGGUGAUUCCGCUGCUUAGCCAUCUGGGCUGGAGUUAUCUUUAUGUUUUCUUUAGGGCUAUGGCCCAUGUAUCUCUUUAUGUAUUUCUACUCUACACUCUAUGUGGUUUUCGUAUUCAGUUUUCCUUUGGCAUCGUGGUAUGCCCGGGUUUUGUCAGGAUUGUAUUAAGGACCCCAGGACUACGCUACUGUACUAAUAUUGUGUGACGUUUUCUUUAAUUUCGCUUAUUAAUUAAAUGGGACGUUACAUUUAUGGUAUCAGAGCAGUUCGUCCUUAGGAUGACCUGAGGUUGUGGGUUUGUCGUGCUUUGCAGGCGUAAGUAGUCAUGUCUAGUCGAGUUUGUCAGUGAAACCAAAAGUUUAGGAACAUAAAACGUCUUGAUAGAGUAAUGAGGGUGCACACUCAUGACUAGAUUAAAGGUUGUUUUCCUUUCUUGAUUCUGAUGGUUUGGAAAAAAAAGGGUUCGUUGUCUGUAAGUGAUAAACUGUUGCUUGGUAUGAUCUAGUUUGUCUUGCUGCGCCUCUGUGCUUUGUGUCUAGUGUCUACGGAGGUAAGGGAAUGCAGAUUCAAUGUCUUGGACUAAUAAACUGGAGAAUAUGCUAGAGUUCCCAAAAUAACGAAUCGUCAGAGGAAGCUUAAGGACAGACUCUCCGAAAAUAGAUACUACAAGUUUUCUAAAAGGGAGUUGGAUCCAAAGGUUAAUAACACUAAGGGGGUAUCAGUGCAUGCAAGUGCCACAUCGUUUGAGGAAAUCAAGCUGAUUCUACACGUCGAUGGUGGUGAGGUUCCGAGUUAUGAAAAUGCAUACAGUGUUAGAUGGAGUGUCAUUGAAUAUAGUCAUAUGGUCACAUCUAGUUCUCCUUGGAGUGGUGUAAGAGGAACAAUUGGUAAAUCUUAGGUUGCUGAAAGUGGAGGGAUUGCUUAGCGACGAAAAAGGUAAGAAAGGGAGAGACCGGGAAGUGCGAAAAGAUGGCAAACCUCUAGUGAGAGGCUGAGAUGGAUGAGGGUUUACAGAUCAGUCAGGAAAGAUGAUGUUCCAAGUAGGGGAAAGAACAAUUUAUGGAUAGGGGGAAGUGGCAUAAGGGAUUCAUACCAGGAUUAAUAGUCAGUAGGUAAGGAUGGGUCUUUUCAAAUUUGUUAGUGGGAUGCUUAAGAAGGGAAAGUAGUUUCCAUGAGUAGGACGUCUGACCCUGGGUAUAAAGUGGGAGGUUUCACGUACCAGAAGGAGGGGCACGCCUUUAAAGGUUAUUCUCGUAUGGAAGGACAACCCAACUGAUGUCAUAACACAGUGACGGGGGAAAUGAAAAGAGAAGUUUUGAGUGGUUGACAUGAUGUCUACGAUGGUUGAUGCUAAAGGGGUUAGCACGAAUGAAUCUCAUACAGAGAUGCACCUUACGAAGAGAUGUUUGGACUAAGGGCCAAUUUUCUUGGGGUCGUGUACUCUUUGAUGUCGUCGAUAUGGUAAAGGAGUCAUGGUUGUCUUUAAGAGAGGACUUAGAUGGAGACGAUGGUUUUGCUAAAAUUGCGACCAAGUGGAGACCCGCUCAAGGAUAUGGUGCCUUCGGGGUGAUCAAAGUAUUUAAAUUUAAAUCGAUCUAAAUUAUGCGAUGUUGGAACGUAGACUCAAGGGUGAAUCAGUUGUUUUCUCAAUCUCAUCCUGAUGAGCUGGGACAACCCACGAAGGGGUGUUCUUGGAUUAAAAAGAGAUGAUUCAAUGGUGGCGUGUGAGGUAUGGACCGAGCUAAAUAGUGGGGGGGGGGGGCAGAGCUUCACGUGAAUCAUAGACAUCUGACGAGGGAAAGUGGAUGGUAGACGAAGAGGAUCUCAGUGGUAAAUGAGUUAUAGACGUGUUGUGAAACAAGUACCAGAGUUUUGACCUUGGUGUGUUAAAGUUCCCCUCUGCAUUGGUGCCUGAAGAGGAACUUGAGACAAUACCCUAAUGGGAUGGUUUCUACCGCGAGUCUGAAAUAAAUGCGGAGGUGGAAGAGAUGUUGGAGAAGUAGUGGCUUAUACUAAGUAUAACCACAAGGAUGACGACAAAGUUGGUGAACAUUAGAGGAGAGGUAGUGGCGGAAUAGAUUGUUCAAGGGAAAACGUUAGAUAAGGGAGGAUGGGCUUUUCGGGCCUAUGGUUGUAAAGAGUGGAAACCAUGAUGAAGGUAAGGCAAUCUCAAACAUGUUAGUUGUGUCGUCAAGGUUUAACAGCGAGUAUCCAAGUGCGAACAGAGUCGUUAAAAUGUGCAAGAAAGGGUAUUGACAAAGGUUGUAGUGCCUAACAGGACGUAUAGUUAUGAAGGGUGGAUGCAAUGUUGCGAAAAUGGGACGCUAAGACUAUAAAAAAAAAAAAAAGAAAGGGGGGGUGAGUCCAAAGGAUUUUACAAGUUGCAUAGAAGUUUUGGAAGAAGGUUUCUCGGCGAUGAUUGAUUCCUUGUCACGACAGACAUGAAAGGGGCAUCAUUUCGAGUAAACAAAUAAGUGGCCUUUGUGGUGAUCAGAGUAGCACAGCGAGAUGAUGGCAAGUGAUCCUUAUGAAGGGUAAAAGGUGCGUGGAAAGAACUAUCUUACUUAUGAACAACAAAUGUGUCGUUCUUAUGAGUAUCAAUUAAGGAUGUUCAGUGACCAGUAUAAGUUGGAAUUAUGGAGUUGCUCAAAGAAAGUUGUGCAAGAGAAGUAGGAGAUGGUUUGAGUUAUGAUUUCAAGUUAGGGUGCCAACUUGGAAGUGAGGAAGUGAGAGUAGAUGUUUAGCCAGAGAAGGGAAUUCAAGAUCCUUGAUUUGACGAAGUAAGAGUGAGAGUUGGUUGAGAACCAUAAGUGUUUGGGUUGGGAAGCGAAUGUGUGAGGGGAUUUCAUUAGUCUCGUCAUCUGACUAGCACUAGUGAGUCUCUCAACAAGGUUGAGAAAAGCCGAAUCAAAAUAUCUUAGUUUGAGGUGUAUCGGGGAGUUGCGUGGUACGAACCAGACUAGAAAUUUGAAGUCAAUGGAAGUUAUGGUUCUGAGGUUUUGUGGAAUGUUGCCUAUAAGUUAGGGGGAUUAAAGAUGAAGAUAGGAUGCCAAUGCGAUAUGGUAAAGGAAGCAGUUGAAGGUUUAAGUGGGAAGAAGAUGUAGGAGUCUCGAUAUACAUGAAAGUGGUCAAAAGUGUUGAUGGUGUGGCAGUAGGCCAGCACUCAAGAGUGAUCAAGGCAAUGGAGUGAUGCAUAAAGGAGUGAACAAGGUGAUGUGAAGUGAUAACGAACGUGCUUUGGUUGGAGACUUAAGGUCAUCUGAGACGUUGAUAAAAACCUACAAGAGGUAGCAGAGAGCAUAUGGUAAGUGAGUCAGUGUGUCAGAUACAAGUUAGUAGGGCAUGCAUGGAAGAGCGUUCCGAUUUUGAGGCUGGAGGAUUUGUAGUGCUUCGAGAGUAGUGACUAAAUUAAUCUACAUAGUUGGACACAUAUCGCUUAGCACAGAGGCAAAGUUUACAGUGACUAUAGGUGUGGGAGUCGUUAUAUAUGUCAUGUUUGAGUAGUGGUUCCCAGAGGAGAUAAAGCGAACAUAGCUCCUUCCUAUCUCAUCGAUGAAUUUUCGAGGACGAAAAUUUUUCUUAUUGCGGAGAAUGUAAGGCCCAUGAAAAUCCACCUUACUUUUCUGCGCUAAAGCUUUAAGGGCUGCCCUUGAGCUAUUGGGCCUUAGGGCUGGCCCAAAAGUUAAAGCCACCUGAGUCUGACCUAGUUCCCCACUUUUCAGAUUUCUCCUACCUUGGUGCUUAGAGCUGCAGCCGCACUCUCUCCGUUAGGGUUCCAUCGUGUUGACAGUCCACCUUCCGUUUGGCCGUUCUUAGCUCACCUUCGAGUCCAUUCCUAGAAGCUGUUCGUCCCCCACAGUUUGGGGUGUCGAGGUUUUCGGCUAGCUUGUCCAGAUAGGCGAGGUCCUCGUGGUCAACAAGGGAAUGGUGAUUCCGCUGCUUAGCCAUCUGGGCUGGAGUUAUCUUUAUGUUUUCUUUAGGGCUAUGGCCCAUGUAUCUCUUUAUGUAUUUCUACUCUACACUCUAUGUGGUUUUCGUAUUCAGUUUUUCUUUGGCAUCAUGGUGUGUCCGGGUUUUGUCGGGAUUGUAUUAAGGACCCCAGGACUACGCUACUGUACUAAUAUUGUAUGACGUUUUCUUUAAUUUCGCUUAUUAAUUAAAUGGGACGUUACAACACUAAUAUUGAGUAAAA